rnacentral:rRNA from 1 species
GACGAACGCUGGCGGCGUGCCUAAUACAUGCAAGUAGAACGCUGAAGGAGGAGCUUACUUCUCUGGAUGAGUUGCGAACGGGUGAGUAACGCGUAGGUAACCUGCCUGGUAGCGGGGGAUAACUAUUGGAAACGAUAGCUAAUACCGCAUAAGAGUAGAUGUUGCAUGACAUUUACUUAAAAGGUGCAAUUGCACCACUACCAGAUGGACCUGCGUUGUAUUAGCUAGUUGGUGGGGUAACGGCUUACCAAGGCGACGAUACAUAGCCGACCUGAGAGGAUGAUAGGCCACACUGGGAAGAGGACACGGCCCAGACUCCUACGGGAGGCAGCAGUAGGGAAUCUUCGGCAAUGGACGGAAGUCUGACCGAGAAACGCCGCGUGAGUGAAGAAGGUUUUCGGAUCGUAAAGCUCUGUUGUAAGAGAAGAACGAGUGUGAGAGUGGAAAGUUCACACUGUGACGGUAUCUUACCAGAAAGGGACGGCUAACUACGUGCCAGCAGCCGCAGUAA